AACGAACGCUGGCGGCAGGCCUAACACAUGCAAGUCGAGCGGGGGAGCAAUCCCUAGCGGCGGACGGGUUAGUAACGCGUGGGAACAUACCCUUUGGUACGGAAUAGCCUCGGGAAACUGAGAGUAAUACCGUAUGUGCCCUUCGGGGGAAAGGUUUAUCGCCAAAGGAUUGGCCCGCGUUGGAUUAGGUAGUUGGUGGGGUAAUGGCCUACCAAGCCUACGAUCCAUAGCUGGUUUGAGAGGAUGAUCAGCAACACUGGGACUGAGACACGGCCCAGACUCCUACGGGAGGCAGCAGUGGGGAAUAUUGGACAAUGGGCGAAAGCCUGAUCCAGCAACGCCGCGUGAGUGAUGAAGGCCUUAGGGUUGUAAAGCUCUUUUACCCGGGAUGAUAAUGACAGUACCGGGAGAAUAAGCCCCGGCUAACUCCGUGCCAGCAGCCGCGGUAAU
rnacentral:rRNA from 1 species